UAGGGAAUCUUCGGCAAUGGGGGGAACCCUGACCGAGCAACGCCGCGUGAGUGAAGAAGGUUUUCGGAUCGUAAAGCUCUGUUGUUAAGGAAGAACGAGUGUGAGAAUGGAAAGUUCAUACUGUGACGGUACUUAACCAGAAAGGGACGGCUAACUACGUGCCAGCAGCCGCGGUAAUACGUAGGUCCCGAGCGUUGUCCGGAUUUAUUGGGCGUAAAGCGAGCGCAGGCGGUUAGAUAAGUCUGAAGUUAAAGGCAGUGGCUCAACCAUUGUAGGCUUUGGAUACUGUUUAACUUGAGUGCAGAAGGGGAGAGUGGAAUUCCAUGUGUAGCGGUGAAAUGCGUAGAUAUAUGGAGGAACCCCGGUGGCGAAGGCGGCUCUCUGGUCUGUAACUGACGCUGAGGCUCGAAAGCGUGGGGAGCGAACAGG
rnacentral:rRNA from 1 species